GCAUAUCAAUAAGCGGAGGAAAAGAAACCAACAGGGAUUCCCUCAGUAGCGGCGAGCGAAGCGGGAGGAGCCCAAGCUCUGAAUCUGGGCGCGCGCCAAGUCCGUGCCCCGAAUUGUGGCCUCAUGGCAAGGCAUCGCUGAGCGCGGUUGCUGGUCGGGCAAAAGUCCCUUGGAAAAGGGCGCCAGGGAGGGUGACAGCCCCGUCCAUUGGUCCGGCAUCGCGGCCGUCUCGAUUGCGCUGUUGCACUUGCCCCAGAGUCGAGUUGUUUGGGAAU
rnacentral:rRNA from 1 species